rnacentral:tRNA from 1 species
GGUCUCGUACUUCAGCUGGUAGAACACACACGGUACUAAAGCGUAGGUGGCAGUCAUGUGUGAGUUCAAAUCUCGCCGAGGUUA